rnacentral:lncRNA from 1 species
AGUGAUGGAAAUUUGGGCGCAUAUUCACACACAGCAACUGUCAACCCUUGCAGAGCUGAGCCUUCCCGCCCAGCACACGGUGUACCAGGCAGGGUGCCGAGACUUCGUGCCCACCCCCACCGCCCAGCUGACAUUGGCAGUGGGCAGCUGGGCAUGAGCCCGGGGGGCGCCUCGGCAGAGCAGUGUGGGGGGAAAUGGGGGAAGGAGGCUGUGAGCAGGCGUCACUCCAGAGAGGUCUGAGACUCUGCCCCACGCUCUCCCUAGGGCCCUGGGGGGUGGGGAGAGGGGCUCUUCUCAGGACCCCACCCAAGGGGCCUGGGACCAGCAGCUUUUGCCUCCCCCAGCACCCAGAAGGGGGCAUAUGCAAGGAAGACAGUGGCUGUACCCCUGGGAAGGCCAAGAGGAAGGCCCAAGGCAUCCGCACGGGCAAGUGUGUGGCCUUCAACGACACUGUGAAGACGUGUGAGAUCUUUGGCUGGUGCCCCGUGGAGGUGGAUGACGACAUCCCGCGGUAACACUCUGACCUU